GUGGGUAGCAAACAGGAUUAGAUACCCUGGUAGUCCACGCCGUAAACGAUGGGUACUAGGUGUAGGAGGUAUCGACCCCUUCAGUGCCGCCGUUAACACAAUAAGUACCCCGCCUGGGGUGUACGGUCGCAAGACUAAAACUCAAAGGAAUUGACGGGGGCCCGCACAAGCAGCGGAGCAUGUGGUUUAAUUCGAAGCAACGCGAAGAACCUUACCUAGACUUGACAUCUCCUGAAUUACCCUUAAUCGGGGAGGCCCUUCGGGGCAGGAAGACAGGUGGUGCAUGGUUGUCGUCAGCUCGUGUCGUGAGAUGUUGGGUUAAGUCCCGCAACGAGCGCAACCCUUAUUUUUAGUUGCUACCAUUUGGUUGAGCACUCUAAAGAGACUGCCCGGGUUAACCGGGAGGAAGGUGGGGAUGACGUCAAAUCAUCAUGCCCCUUAUGUCUAGGGCUACACACGUGCUACAAUGGUGAGAACAAAGAGACGCAAGACCGCGAGGUGGAGCCAAUCUCACAAAACUCAUCCCAGUUCGGAUUGCAGGCUGAAACUCGCCUGCAUGAAGCCGGAGUUGCUAGUAAUCGCGAAUCAGCAUGUCGCGGUGAAUACGUUCCCGGGCCUUGUACACACCGCCCGUCACACCAUGAGAGUUGGCAAUACCCGAAGUCCGUGGGAUAACCGCAAGGAGUCAGCGGCCGAAGGUAGGGUCAGCGAUUGGGGUGAAGUCGUAACAAGGUAGCCGUAGGAGAACCUGCGGCUGGAUCACCUCCUU
rnacentral:rRNA from 1 species